rnacentral:lncRNA from 1 species
CUCUGACAAGCCCUAGGCAACACAAAGCUGCUCAGUUUGUUUGGCAGACUGGUGCUGCCAGGGAGCAGGAGGCUCUUUGCUCAGUGGCAUCCAAUAUUUGAGUUACCCUGGGUGCCUGCUGACAGGGGUGAAGAGGGUGCUCUUCCAGAAACAUUUCACCUUUUUUUUUUUUUUUGUAUCCAGACUUGCAGCAGCUCUAGGGAAGGGUAGAAUUACUCGUUCAGUGCUGGAAUCAUUUGCACCAGCAAGUUUGCCAGCCGCAACCACGAUGGCUGUGGAAGGAAUUGCCUCUGACAGGUGUCUGAAUAUUACCAGGAAAGCAUUCUCCUGACUCAGCAGGUUUGGCACCAACUCUUACAAUCAAAUUAUUUAGAGCUAUUCAAGACUAGCCUCAAACAGUUGUGCAGAGGGGUAGGAAGGAGUAAGGAUUCUUCCCUGUUUGGCAGCUGUGGAAAGGUCAGCCACAAAGGCAGUCCCCAGAUCCAAGAGGAGAACAGACACCCUGGGCCAGGUGCCCUCCCAGGGAAUGUGGAGGGUGGCCAGAGGAGCAAAAAUAGCCAGAAGUGUGGCUCUGCCCAUCAGUCUCAUAGCUGGCAUCAGUGAGUCAUCAUUUUUAUUAAAAUAACCAUGUUCAGAGGAAGAGUCCGACACACAUAAGUAAUGGGAACUGCUAAUAGCAAGCAGGCUGCUCUAAAAUGUGCUGGGGCUUUGACUUAAGGGAAGAAAGCACAGCCCUGCAUUGUCCCUGUCAGGAAGCUGGAGCACAGAAGAGUUCACUUAGGAUCAAAAAAAUGCUGAAGGCCAGAGACAUCCUGGGACACUACUUCUGUGGAAUCUACAUCACUGGACUAUUUCUACCUCCUCACUAAAGAUAGUCAGAAAAGAAGCCAAAUACAAGUAUGAGAGUGAGUUCUAAAAGCAAGAAGCAAAAUUAUAAGGCAGGUAUGUACUUGUAUUUCUCAUUUAUAUAACAGUUAAGAAUCAAAACCAGGAACAGAAUGACCUUUCCUUU